UCCGACAAAGGCAAACUCCUCUAAAGGGGAGGACGCAAAGCCACGGGCCUACCGAACAUCCUGUUCCACGGCUGCCGGGCUGCCGUUA
rnacentral:ncRNA from 1 species